rnacentral:rRNA from 1 species
AGAGUUUGAUCCUGGCUCAGAAUCAACGCUGGCGGCGUGCCUAACACAUGCAAGUCGAACGAGAAAGUGGAGCAAUCCAUGAGUAAAGUGGCGCACGGGUGAGUAACACGUGACUAACCUACCCUUGAGUGGGGAAUAACUAGGAGAAAUCUUAGCUAAUACCGCAUAACACCUACGGGUCAAAGGAGCAAUUCGCUUAAGGAGGGGGUCGCGGCAGAUUAGCUAGUUGGCGGGGUAAUGGCCCACCAAGGCAGUGAUCUGUAUCCGGCCUGAGAGGGCGCACGGACACACUGGAACUGAAACACGGUCCAGACUCCUACGGGAGGCAGCAGUGGGGAAUUUUGCGCAAUGGGGGAAACCCUGACGCAGCAACGCCGCGUGGAGGAUGAAGUCCCUUGGGACGUAAACUCCUUUCGAUUGGGAAGAUUAUGACGGUACCAAUAGAAGAAGCCCCGGCUAACUUCGUGCCAGCAGCCGCGGUAAUACGAGGGGGGCAAGCGUUGUUCGGAAUUAUUGGGCGUAAAGGGUGCGUAGGCGGUUCGGUAAGUCUUAUGUGAAAUCUUCAGGCUCAACUUGAAGUCUGCAUGAGAAACUGCCGGGCUUGAGUAUGGGAGAGGUGAGUGGAAUUUCCGGUGUAGCGGUGAAAUGCGUAGAUAUCGGAAGGAACACCUGUGGCGAAAGCGGCUCACUGGACCAUAACUGACGCUGAGGCACGAAAGCUAGGGGAGCAAACAGGAUUAGAUACCCUAGUAGUCC